rfam:Xenopus tropicalis strain Nigerian scaffold_2315_contig_3, whole genome shotgun sequence.
GGGGGUAUAGCUCAGUGGUAGAGCAUUUGACUGCAGAUCAAAAGGUCCCUGGUUCUAAUCUGGGUGCCCCCU